GCUGGGUGUUGUGGUGCAAGCCUGUAGUCCCAGCCACUUGGGAAGUAGAGGCAGGAGGAUUGCAAGUUCAAGGUUAGCUUAGGCAACAUAGCAAGACCAUGUCUCAA
rnacentral:sRNA from 1 species